GCGCCGUUAGCUCAGUUGGAUUAGAGCAAAAGGCUUCUACCCUUUAGGUCGUAGGUUCGAGUCCUACACGGCGUGCCA
rnacentral:tRNA from 1 species